rnacentral:snRNA from 1 species
GGAUGUGAGGGCCAUCUGGCUACCACAUCUGUCUCCUCACUCAUCACCAGGGUUGGUUCUGCUGAUCUAACUGGCUAGGAUCCCCUUCCUCCCUCACAGCUCCAUGUGCAUCCCUUCCUAAACUGCUCUGGGCCAAAGAACAGCCUUUUCAAUAGAAGACAACCUUUCUUUAGUCAAGGGUAUUAUGUGUAGCUAUGCUUCCCUGCUAGAACCUUCAAUCAAGAUCUCUAGGGCCAAAGUCUAACCACUACUAAGAGGUGGAGCUCAGUGUCCCAUGGAGCCAUCAUGGUUCCAAAGUACUCAGUCACUUCACUCACCCUUCCAAA